rnacentral:rRNA from 1 species
GAAUUUUCUGCCACCGAAUACAUUAGCAUGCGAUAAUGGAAUAGGACCCUGUCCUCCUAUUUUCAGUUGGUUUUGGCAGCGCGAGGACUAGGGUAAUGAUUAAUAGGGAUAGUUGGGGGCAUUAAUAUUUAAUUGUCAGAGGUGAAAUUCUUGGAUUUAUGAAAGAUUAACUUCUGCGAAAGCAUCUGCCAAGGAUGUUUUCAUUAAUCAAGAACGACAGUUAGGGGAUCGAAGACGAUCAGAUACCGUCGUAGUCUUAACCAUAAACGAUGCCGACCAGCGAUUAGGAGACGUUGAAUACAAAACACCACCAUCGGCGCCGUCGUCCUUGGCUGCUGUGUCCCUUUCAACGGGGGUAUGGGGGGAGGGCGGUUUAGGCCGGAGGGACCGGUGAAUGACUCCCUAGUAGCUUGAGAGAAA